GUGGAACUGCAUAAAUAUACUGUGUGGUUGGAGACUUCAGUCUGACUAGGCCGUAUUCCUAGAAGAGUUUCUGCCCUGAAGUGAAAGAUUAACACUGUAGGAUGCACAAAACAAGCAUGUAGCUGGAAGACUGGUCAGCUACUACUGCCAACUUUGUUGUGUGAAUUGCCCUUGAGAUGCUGCACCAGAGAUGAGUGACCUUGAGACGCAGCCAAACUGCAAAAAAGAGAAAGUGACAAUAUGACUGUAUCGGAUGAAGAUUUUCCAGUCUGCAUUAGUCCUGACUCUCUAGUUACCUGGAAACUGUCUGUCGAGCUGUAUGUGAAAACCUGGAGCAUGCGUCACUGAGCCAAGUUUCAUCGUCUGCCGGCUACCUUUGCUUCCUACUGUGUCCUGCAAGGAAGUCCUGCUAAUGCCAAGAGGUAGCAGGAAGCUGUUUGACAAUGGAGAGGUGCCCUGAGAAACGCCAUGAUUUCACCAGCUUAAGCAUUAGGAAUUCACUGCAACACUCCCUGGCAGAGAGUAGAUGAGCAGUAAGACAAAAGCGUUAUUCUGGCAAGGAAGUUCUCAAGUAUGUAAUUAGUCAAAGUGACAGAAGAGAAGACCGGGUAUGAAAACAUGUGAAAUUAAAUGGGGCUAAAUACACAAACCUGCUCUUACUGUUGGUCACUGUUAGUGACUUUAAAGCAAGUACGACCGGGCAGCACCAAGUUCAUUUUAUUUACCUGGUGAACCGUAAAGCAAAUGCGAUUUCCACAGUUUUUCAAAAAUCCUCUUACUGGUUGGUGCUGAAAAGGAGCCCUUUCUGUCCUGGGGGGCUUGCCUCUCCUGAAGUUCAACCUUCAGCAAUUACUUGCCACAGCUUCCACAGCUCAGAGCGCUGUCUGCGCUAGGGCAAACUGUUUUACAUGGCCAGCAGUUUUCUAGCACUCCACCUGUGAUGACGCUGGGAACUACCUUCAUGCUUCAGUUUUAAGGCAUGACUGACGAGAUGGGAUGUUUUUCACUUUCUUCUGUGACGUGUUCUGCUGGGCUGCUGUACUUCAGCAAAGAGCUACAAGAGGGCCUUAGAGCAAGUCUCUGAGAUAAAUGAGGACAGAUACCUCCCACGCUUUCAAUCAGGAUAUGGAUCUAGGAAGGAGAAACUUCUCCAUACUUCGCUACAGCUGUCAUUCUAGCUGAGUCCAUGUGUAACCGGGAAUGCAGAUGUCUGCUUGCAUCUCCAGCUUCAUUUCAGACGAGUUCGGAAGGUUUUUUGGCUACUGUUUGAAGGAGCCACUGGCGUGCAGCUAGAGACGUUAAUACGGAAGCACAACUGUGGCCAUUCUAGAAGCAAAACCUAAAGUCCUCCCUCUCCAAUCAACAGCACUUGUAGGAGUAGACCCAGGCUUCUGACAAGAGCUGAAAAUAUGGAGAACCAUCACAAUGACCAGAUAAUUUUUCAUGGAUCUGCAUAACGCUGGAAGCCACAAUUUGAGGAGUCUUGCAGUAAUCCUGUUAAACUGUUGAGCAACAUUAGGCAUGCUGGCGGUGCUCUGUUAGUGGCUCUUCAGGCCACUGACCUCUUCUGACUCUUCCAUGAGACUGAGUCAAAUAAUGAGCACAUGUCAAAUAAUGUAUUAUCAUGUGUAUUGUGUUUCGAAAUACCUGGAAAAAAAGACAUCCCAAAAAAAUGAAGUUAUCAGAGUGAAAGAACACACAGAAAGGAGGAUGAAUUAAGUAGGAGUAAAGGGAUCUCUUUGUUGAAGAGGAAAGAAGCCCUGCUCCAGAAACUGCCAGCUGGUUGGUAGUACUUUGCUGGCCUUCGCUCAGCUUCAGAAAAGACUGAAAGGAUUCAGCUGUCACUGUGCAGUACUGCUCUGUGCAUCCAACCUGACAGAAAACUAUCUCCAAACAAAAUCAAAAAAUGAAGUGACAGGUGCUUAGCCUCAUUUUUCAUGCUAGCUUUGCUGUGCCAUUUUCACCAAUAAUGAAGGCAGCUGCCAGAGCUUGAGGAAAUCAGGCGAAAAAUUCAGCUGGCAGUUCAGUAAAUCUUAGUGUGGACAACUAGCCGAACUCGGGCCUCAGCAAUGGAGCAUCCUGUUAAAGAGAAGAUCCAGGAAUUGCAUGAUUG